rnacentral:lncRNA from 1 species
CCUUUAAGUGUCUCUGAGAUAUCUGGGUUGCCAAAUGUGAAAUCCUGGACACUUACUCAGUGAUACAUUUACCAUUAGCCCAAGGAUGUAAAACCUCAUGUAAUCUGUGUAGCCACUGUGCAUAUGAGCAACCCUCAGAGAGUCCAAGGAAAGAGCAUGUUGGGGCAGCCCUGGUUCUGAAUGAUGUAAUCCUAUAGGACAUUCUGUCACAGAACCCAUUAGACAACAAACAUAGUUACCUUUCAAAGUCGCUUCCAUGAUAAGCCUCAUGAGGGCAGAGGCCAUAUUAUACUCACCAAAUAUCACUUUGGCACCUUGCAGUAGAAAUGCAGUUUUCCACUCAAAUAUUCUCUAGAGACGAGCUCAGAGACCUUGGAAAUCAAGCAUUGAAGACAGAUGAAGCAAAAGGGAGAAAAUGAACUGCUCACAAAAAAUAAACACCCCUUGGAGGCUCUCAUUGAGGAAUAAAUGCUCAGGGGAUCAUCUUCAAUCUUGGGAAUUAGAAACUCUGAAAUCUUGAUAUCUUAUCCUGUCUUCUGCAAAACUCUACCGAACACUUUCCUGGGUGGGUUGCUCCAGUUGUAUCUACUUUUUUCUCAUUGUGCUAUCGUUUGUAUAAACAGGGCGUCAUUAAGGUCACUGGGGGAGGAGGGUGCCUGAGUGAUUCAGUGGCAUUUGGACCCUCCAUAUCAUUCCAUCAAACUCCUCAUCCACUCUUCAAGUUCCAGCAAUGGGCACAUUUCACAGUUUAUCUCCCCAUUGUCUGUUUCUCCACGAGGUGUCAGUGAUCCAUACAUCAUCCCCUGAAUUCUCAGAGUUCACAGAUUUCAAUUUCUUCUACAUCUAUUCACUAACACUAAUAUAUUUUUCACCUCUAAAAUAAGGUCCUUUGCUGCAGAUCAAGACUUCCAACUCGCUCUAUACCUAUAUAGAAAAAUGGCUGGAAGGAUGUACAGCAAAAUGCUAAAAGAAGGUAUCAUAGAAAUAGAGUUGUUUAUUUUUACCUUUGUAGUUUUCUGUGCUUUUCAGAUUUCUAUUUUGAGUCCCUUUGGUAGAGGAGGCUACUCUUAUGUUUGGUGUGCAUCCAAAUAUACUGUUACUUUACUUUGAAUUGAAAUCAAUCUCUAGAUAGAUAGAUAGAUAGAUAGAUAGAUAGAUAGAUAGAUAGAUAGAUAGAUAGAUAGAUAGAUUUGUAAAACAUAUACAAACAUGUAGAGAGUUAUACAACUAUACAAAGAUCU